CGCAAAACAAGGAAGCUCUGGCGCCGCCAUUUCACGUGCAAGGAGUUGAGAGAACGUGUGUGAGGUAGGCCUGGAAAUCGGCAAAACAACAUCGAAUUUUACCAAAAAUAACUAUUUUAAUCGGAAAACAAGUCCUGAAUAGUCUGUUUUCGAUUUGUAAUCGUCUGGCUGUUUCACAUUGAGGAGCAAAGAUGAGCUACGGAAGGCCCCCGCCCGAUGUCGAGGGUAUGACCUCGCUCAAAGUGGACAAUCUCACCUACCGAACUUCUCCUGAGACACUACGACGAGUUUUCGAGAAGUACGGCCGGGUGGGAGACGUGUACAUCCCCCGCGAUCGGUACACCAAGGAGAGUCGCGGGUUCGCUUUCGUGCGGUUCCACGAUAACCGCGACGCUGAAGACGCGAUGGACGCCAUGGACGGGGCCUUGCUUGACGGGCGGGAACUGCGAGUCCAGAUGGCGCGCUAUGGCCGUCCACCAGACUCUCACUUCGGGCGCCGAGGCGGCGGUGGACCUCCAAGGAGGCACGGAGGCUAUGGUCGCAGGAGCAGGAGUCGUUCGGCCAGCCCCCGUCGGCGCAGACGCAGUCGUUCCCGGAGCAGGAGCCGUUCCCGUGGCCGUGACUACAGCCGCUCCCGGUCUCGUUCCGACUCUAGAUCCCGUUCCAAGUCCCGCACCCCCCGCAAGAGCAAGUCCCCAUCUCGAUCGAGGUCCCGUGGUGCUUCCAGGUCCCGCUCCCGCAGCCCGGCUUCCAACAGAGGCUCCAAAUCCAGGUCGCGGUCCAAGAGCAGGCCCAAGUCCCCCGAGGACACCGGAACCGACUCUUAGUAACAACAGCUCCAACCCGGAGCCAUUAAAACGGUACACAAGGAAGGGGAGAAGGGGUGUGACCAUCACAUAUCUGUAAGGAUAGUUUGGUUCGUGUAGGAGAGACUACAGAGUAGGUUUAGAUUCAAAUGCAGUUGGACAGUGUUCUGCAGCCUUGACAGUCUGAUAUUGAGUGUGACACUUUAGUCUUGUUUAGUCACCAGCGUUGCAACGUACCAGUCACGACUGCAGAAUCCUGACCCUGGGUUGUUGCAGGGGAAACUACGAUUGUAAACUAGGUUUUAGAACCAGUUCAGAAAGUAGUGCACACAUCACGUAACAUGCAGUUGCAGGGUACAAAAGUCAAGUCCGGAAAUAAAUCUGGAUAUCUGUACACUUGAAUGCUUUUAUUCAAGUGUGUGGGUGUCUACCAAUGUUUUACAUCCAACCAAACUGACACAUCAGCCAACAUUAGGAUUUUAUCUACAUGGAAGGUCAGAAGUAAAGUAGGCAAAAAUGGUUUACAAUAUUUAUAAAAUGGGCCUAUUAUUUUUGAGAUGCUAUAUUUAUGGCGGGGUGCUAAAAUCAAACAUUCGUUUACCUAAAUGUGGAAUUCUCUCCUCCAAGCUGCGGUCCUCUUGUCAAACAGAGAGGUGGGGGUGUGGCAGAGAUGGCAGUGUGAGAGCAGUUAGUGUGGUGUGACGCGACCCGCCCAUGUGACCUGCCUGUUGCUGAGUUGGUGGGUGCGAUGGCGGUUGCUAUGGAGCAGGUCGUCAAUGGCGACGCAUGGUCCGUGCUGUCAGUUGGUGAGGUGUGAGGUGGUGGUGAGGUACGGAACUUUCACAGGACCACAGACAGAAUUCUGCUGGCUGUACCGCUGUGUCUGUGGUCUCACUGGUGAAGGAGGGAGGACCCCAAGGUGAGAUACGAUGGAGACUUCUUCUCUGCGGACGCCAACCAGAUCAUAAGUCUGCCAGUGGACACCCCUCUAUGCCCCACAGAAUACUGACCAAAAGGUUAUUGUGACUUGGUCUAAAAUGAUUUAUUUGGUUUCAGUUGCCCAGAAAGACUCUACUAUAUAAUUACCAAGGCGAUGUAACUACCAUGACUAGAGUAGAGGACACGUUUAAUGGUUUUGUGAGGUGAAUACUGGAUUUUGUCUUAUUGUUAGUGCUGGUUUGUUGCAUUUUGAUUUGAUCUGGUUAAUAAAACAUUUUAUGGUGAAGUAGCUACAGCUUUCCUCUGUAUUUAGUAGUCUUUUAUUCUCUACAGACAGAUUCUGGGUUUUGAGUUAACAGUGUUUUGUUUUUGUUGCAGAGUUGAUUUUAUCAAAGGGAGAGUGAAUAGCCCCUAAAUAUUUUUCAUUAUUUUCUAAGCAAACGCAGUAACAUGUAGAGGGAAGUGAGAAGGAACAAUAAUAAGCCACUAUUGUAUCAAAUGUCACGUGUUAUGUAAUUGGUUAACCUGCCUAGCAGUGUUUGUUUUUUGCCUAACGUAUGUCUACUAGAUCAUUUUUUUUCUUGCCGUUUGUCUGUUCUAAGUUUGCUUUCCUGUGAAUUCUAACCCUCCUCUCUUGUUAUCUUUUGUGCAUUAGGCGCAGUUGUGUAGCAGUUGAGUAUUGCUGGUUAGCUGUUAAGGUGCGAUGCAGUGCUGAUGGUGAGGUGGCAGUGCAGUGGCUGGCGGGGGUGUUGCGGUACCCUGUGAGUGCCCGGUGCAGUUGUCGCCCGGCGCUCGUCUUGGUGCUACUGCUGCCAUUUGCCUUGUUCUGGUUUGUAAGAGUCUGGUGGUAGAUCUGAUCACGCCAUCUCUCCCCCUGUGUUGUUCUCAUAUGGUCUCUUCCCAUUCCUGAUGUACAAAUACACUCCUUUUUCCCAUUCUCUCUCUCCCAACCCUAGCCUGGUGGAACUAGCCUGAUCGCUGCGUUUAACGUUUGUUCGAUCAAGCUUGUUCCACCAGCCUAUCCCAAACCCCCCUCCAACUGUGGUUUAGUCCCUCUGUUGUGAGCUGGUUGUACAUUGUUGAUGGAAAAGGCUCGAUAGGGGAGGGUUUGAUGGUCUGGGUUUUGUGUACCCUCGCAAGAUUUCUUGUACCUGCUUUAGGUGAAUGCUAAUAAACAUUUGUGGUUAA